AUCAGGGGUUAGGGCAGCUGAAGCACUGGAAUCUGCAAGGCAGGGCCUCAGAGAGGCAGGAGCUGUGCAGUUUAUAUAAAUAUCAUCAUGAGUUCAUUCUAAUCCCUCUAACUCUGAUCUAGUAUCACAAGGCUUUCCCUAGUUUUCUAGUCCAUACUUCUGGCUCUAUCUUUAGAAACCCAGAGCAGACUGGCAAGGUAAGUCACCAUUUUCAUUGUCAAGUCUCUCAGCUGAAGAAGAGUGUGCCCGGGGUGAGGUGGCAAAAAGCGGGACAUGGAGCAGCCAUCACUUGUGUGAACCCCUGAGAAUGAAUGAUAGAAAACCCAGAAAAUAAUGGAUUUGUUGAGAGAGCACACCAAACCUAAGUAGAAAUUUAGGGGGUACACGAUGACAUGUUUGUCUUCUAGAGCUCCAAUUAUUAUAUUAUUUAACCAAAAUUCCAAGUGACCAAAUCCACAGCAGUUCCAGCUCUUUCUGAGGAUGUCCCAUAGGAUAGGCAUGAUGCCUGGCCUACGUAGUGGGUGAGAUUCCUGCUUCCUCUUUUGACAUUCAUUCUUAUGACAAAAUGUCCAUCACUUGAGGUUUAAAGAUUAGAGGAAAAGAAAAUAGAAAAAUGUCUCAAAAUAUACAAGGAAUAAGAAAGCUUGGUGCCUAUCGUCUUUCCCCAAGGGACAAUCUGCUAAUGCAGUGUGGUGUCCUCAGGUGGAACCUGAGGGGACAGAGAACAAUGUGACACCUUGGACGUGGAGGCUUCCCCAUUGCUCCCCUCAGCAAGUGCCAGAGGCCAGCCUCACCAGCAGUAAUCAGAGAAGAUAAAUAGGAGGUAUUAAUACAGCAAACUCACAGCUGGAUGGCACCGACCUGACCCAGGAGGAACUCCCUAGCCUGCCAGCCACAUUCCCUCCUGGAUUAUCUCCUCCACAUUUAGCCCACUCUCAGAGUCAGGGGAAACUACUCUCUCUAUAUCAAUAACCCACGAAGCAUCAGGUGUCAACAGUUGUCUUAUGUCUCUAGACAAUUUUUAGGAACUGUGGUACAGCCCCCAGAUAAAAAAAAAAAAAAAGCGUUUAUUCGAUAAAUGCGUAUUGGGCAUCUUGCCUGUCCCUGGCAGUGUACUAGACUCCAGGAAUACAAUGAUGAAUGAGUAACGGAACUCCCUUAACAGAGAUCCAGACCCACUGUGUGGAAAGGGUAGUGGAGUUUUAACAGUUAUCAGUGGCACGAAUAGAAGGACUGGCUCUGAGCAGAAAGGCUACCUUUCCCUCUGCAGUGGCAGGAAGGGAAGCAAGGGUGUGGGAGGUCGGAGGUAGGAAGGGUGAAAGUUAGGCAGAUGAUGCCCCAUGGUCUGAAUUCUCCUGAUGAAGUAGGGAGACUGGGGAGAUAAGCAGAGGUCUUGAGGUAAGUGGGAGAGAGGUCUGGGACGGUCAUAAAAGAAACUUGAGAAGGAGCUAAGGACAAGUAAACAGUCACAGCAGCCGGGGCCAAGUGAGGCUGGAGACGUGGUACCCAUCAGAGCAGCAGCAGUGCUUGAGUGACCAGGUGUGGGAGACACACCCAGUGAAUUACAGCAUAAUGUGAAGAGUCCCAGGCGUGACAGGGUAAUUUAUUGAGACAUUAUCGGUGUCUGUUCUCAUUGCAUUUUUUCCCUCCACCCAUUUUCAAGAAUGACUUCAGGGCUACUUACAUCAGGGAAGUUUGGAGUUAAAUGCUUGAAGGAAACCUCACAUCAGGCCUUUUUUUCCGCCCCCUUCUUUAAGCAGAGGUCUCAAAGUGGGCUUCUCCAGGCUAAUACUUUGACAGAUAUGCUUCAUUUAUAAGGAAUAGUGUUUUGAGGUUUUUAAAAAUAGUUGCCAACAUUUUGAGAGUAGAUUUCACAUUAAAAUCUAGACUUCAGCUUCUCCUGGAAAAAUCCAAUGACCUGGCAGUCCUGGGCUACCUUUUCACCUGGCUACAAUUAGUUGGAGCUGUGUAAUGUCUGCCCCUUUUAAGGGGGUACAACCUCCGAUUCACUGUGGUCCCUAUUAUUCUCUGUGGUCUUAUUCUCAGCCAACAUCACUCAUUUAGGGUAACUGCCUGGUCCCUGUAACCCUCUCCAAAGUUGGAGAUUAUGCUAGGAGGAAGAAGUACAGGCAGAAGCAAUAAGGCAGUGGGGUCACAGGUCUGCAGUCCCUUGGAUGUGGCAAAGGCCCAGACAGGAAUGGGAAUGCAACGGCCCCAAGGCCUGGCUCUUCCCGCCUCAGCAAAGACACCUAUCCAGAAAGCGGCAAACUUGGAUACUGACAAUGAUCUCAGACAGUCUGAGUAUGAACAGGUCCUUUCCUUGUGAAAAUCCCAGGUCCUUGUAAAAUCCUAAGGAGGGUGGGAGCGGGACAGGCCACAAUGCCUGAGAUUAUUUCCCACCAGCCCUUGGGGAGGUGGCUUGAAGUUAGACUUAAUGAGAGAAAUAAGGACAUAAUUUCUUGCACACGCAUGUUUGUGGAGUGAGAGUUUAAACAGCCAAGUGGAGAUUUAAAGAAAGGGCUAAGAAAACACAAAGCAAAGGAGUGGAUGAGGUUACUUUUUGACUCAGAGAGUUUUGGAAAUUUUCACAGAGGAGAUGUAAUUUGGGCUGAGUUUUGACAACUGAGUAGGAGACCUCCAAAUAAGGUUAUUCUACCCAAGGACAAACACUUGAGAGUGCAGAGCAUACAGUAUUCAGGAAUGUGUGGUAGUUCAGUGCAACAAGUGCAAUCGAUGCCCAUCGUCUGGUUGGGGGCAAUAGGAGAAGGGACAGAGUAAAGGGAAGUGAAACUAGAAGGGAAGUUGAAGCUUUCAUGCCUUCUUCACGUAAUGGGUUGUUCCUAACUAUUCUGUAGUGCACUACUGGUGUUUAAAAAGUUAACGGAGCUGGGAGUGUGGCCAAUGCAUGGGAAAGGAAGACUGGACAAAGACCACUGAGCAGGUUCUUGCACUAAUCCAGGUGUGAGAUGGUAAUGCUUGGAACUAGGACAAUGAUUGCAGGAAUAGGGAGGAGAGUUUGGAUUUCAACAGCUGUUUAUUGAGUGCUUACUGUAUGCCAGGCAUUGUGCUAGGUGCUGAGCAUACACCGAUAAACAGAUACUGGCUCUUGCCUUGAAGAAUCUUAUUGCCCAAGGGACAAAGCUUACCACACCUGGCAGAGCCGGGGAAGAGAAGCAUCUGGGACCGUCAAGCCCUACUCACACGUGUUGUACAUUCCAUCCGGGGUUGGAUUCAGUUGGGCCCACGGAGUUCCACACAGGUUCAGUGGCCUCUCACUGUUGUGGCCUCUCC